CAUCAUGAUUUACAUUUGAGUGAGUGGCGAACUGGUGAGUAACACGUGGGAAACCUGCCCAGAAGCGGGGGAUAACACCUGGAAACAGAUGCUAAUACCGCAUAACAACUUGGACCGCAUGGUCCGAGUUUGAAAGAUGGCUUCGGCUAUCACUUUUGGAUGGUCCCGCGGCGUAUUAGCUAGAUGGUGGGGUAACGGCUCACCAUGGCAAUGAUACGUAGCCGACCUGAGAGGGUAAUCGGCCACAUUGGGACUGAGACACGGCCCAAACUCCUACGGGAGGCAGCAGUAGGGAAUCUUCCACAAUGGACGAAAGUCUGAUGGAGCAACGCCGCGUGAGUGAAGAAGGGUUUCGGCUCGUAAAACUCUGUUGUUAAAGAAGAACAUAUCUGAGAGUAACUGUUCAGGUAUUGACGGUAUUUAACCAGAAAGCCACGGCUAACUACGUGCCAGCAGCCGCGGUAAUACGUAGGUGGCAAGCGUUGUCCGGAUUUAUUGGGCGUAAAGCGAGCGCAGGCGGUUUUUUAAGUCUGAUGUGAAAGCCUUCGGCUCAACCGAAGAAGUGCAUCGGAAACUGGGAAACUUGAGUGCAGAAGAGGACAGUGGAACUCCAUGUGUAGCGGUGAAAUGCGUAGAUAUAUGGAAGAACACCAGUGGCGAAGGCGGCUGUCUGGUCUGUAACUGACGCUGAGGCUCGAAAGUAUGGGUAGCAAACAGGAUUAGAUACCCUGGUAGUCCAUACCGUAAACGAUGAAUGCUAAGUGUUGGAGGGUUUCCGCCCUUCAGUGCUGCAGCUAACGCAUUAAGCAUUCCGCCUGGGGAGUACGGCCGCAAGGCUGAAACUCAAAGGAAUUGACGGGGGCCCGCACAAGCGGUGGAGCAUGUGGUUUAAUUCGAAGCUACGCGAAGAACCUUACCAGGUCUUGACAUACUAUGCAAAUCUAAGAGAUUAGACGUUCCCUUCGGGGACAUGGAUACAGGUGGUGCAUGGUUGUCGUCAGCUCGUGUCGUGAGAUGUUGGGUUAAGUCCCGCAACGAGCGCAACCCUUAUUAUCAGUUGCCAGCAUUAAGUUGGGCACUCUGGUGAGACUGCCGGUGACAAACCGGAGGAAGGUGGGGAUGACGUCAAAUCAUCAUGCCCCUUAUGACCUGGGCUACACACGUGCUACAAUGGAUGGUACAACGAGUUGCGAACUCGCGAGAGUAAGCUAAUCUCUUAAAGCCAUUCUCAGUUCGGAUUGUAGGCUGCAACUCGCCUACAUGAAGUCGGAAUCGCUAGUAAUCGCGGAUCAGCAUGCCGCGGUGAAUACGUUCCCGGGCCUUGUACACACCGCCCGUCACACCAUGAGAGUUU
rnacentral:rRNA from 2 species